CACAGGAACGAAGAAGAGACCAGGAUUAUUUUAGGCACCGAAGGGGCAAACUUGUAUGAUAAAUACAGGUGAAACUCUCAGGUAAAAGGACUUUGUUCCACGA
rnacentral:ncRNA from 2 species